AUUACCAUUAUGCCACUGUAUCCUUCCCAAUAAACCCCCUCCCAUACCAUUGCUAAUGCAAUGUAUUAGCAAUGUCAUGAUAACUAGUGGGAAGACAUCAAUUACGGCGAGUUACUUGUGCCAGAAAUAAGAAAUAAGUGGCUUCUUGGAUCUAAUCAUGGUUGGUUGUGUACUGUUGAUAUCCAAGGCCGAGACAUUCAACUCUUGAAUCCAUUAACAAGAGCCCAAAUCCCUCUCCCAUCUCUUGAUGCAUUUCAACAUCCAGAGGGCAGUUUCAUAGACGGUGAAGUCAAUGAUUUUAGGUUUAUAGAGAAGGUCGUUAUAUUAUCUGAUCCUUCAUAUAAGAGGAGAAACUUCAAUAAUGAUGAUGAUGAUGAUCGUGUAUUAAUUAUGUCCAACUUCUGUGUGCUAUCGUUUUGCAUGCUCGGAGAUGACAAGUGGACAAAUGUAGAGGAUUCUCUUAAACACAUCCAAGAUAUCAUCUGUUACAAUGUUACAAGGGUCAGAUUUAUGCUAUUAAUUAUGUCGGGAUAGCUGUGGUUUUCGAUCUCGCAGGGGAUAAGAAGAUGAAACAAAUUGCAAAUGCACCAAAGCCAUGGAUUGGUGACCACAUGUAUUUGGUUGAGUCAGACGCGUGGAGACUUGCUGCUAGUUGCAAGAGAGCUCUUAUAUAGCAAUAUAAAAAAUCUUGAAGAUGAUGAAGGUUGGUCUACAACUACUGACUUUGUGGUGUACAAGCUUGAAGCUAUUGAUAAGCCAGUGAAGUUUGAAGGUUGAAGGUCCUACCUAUGCUACCAUCAACCGCAGAGUCCCAGAUUAGAGGUGAGCACAACAGCAUAGUCCCAAAUGGAGGUGAGGUCAAGUUCAAAUGGGUUGUGAGAUGGAAAGCUUGGGCGAUCAAACUUUGUUCUUGGGCGUUUUGUGUACGAGCUAUCGACUAUCAAGGCUGCGAGCCAAAUUGCAUAUAUUUUAACAUAGCAUGGGUUGAUAGGGCAUACAAUAACAGCACGGGGAAAAUCAAAAGAUAUUCGUGAGAAUUAUUCUAUUUGUGACAUGGUCAAAAGAUAUUCGUGAGAAUUAUUCUAUUUGUGACAUGGGCAUAUAUGAUUACAGAGAUAAAAGCUUUGAAGAAUUUACCGAACUGAAUCUUAAGUACCUUGUUCCGCCCAUCUGGAUCUCGCCAAAUCCACGUAUUUAAGUUUCUUAGGUACAAACUGAUGACCAUUAUUAUGGACCUGAAGAUUAUUGCGAUGGAUGAAAUAGUACGACCCCGUGGUGUAUUCCGGCGAUCCAUCGCCUCCUUCAUGCCUCUCUAGGAGAUGCAGCGAAGCCUGAUGGCGGUGUGCUCAGAGAUGGAAAAGGCCGUUGAGCUAAUGUAGCCAGAUAUACUCUUCUAUGGAUAGGUGCACAGGAGGACAGGAUUGCCAGAAGGAUCCGUAGGGCUGCAAUCAAGCUUCAAUUUGAAGAAAUUGCGAAAAGGAAAGUAGCAGAUGAAGUGGGAGAUAAUCUCUACAGACUAAGAGGAUUAUGGAGUUCUGGAUUGGUGUAGCAGUUCGCUAGAGGGUCAUUUGUAUAAAGGUCUGGUGACUGCUUAGGGGAAUGCUGCAGAAGUACUUUUGGGUUCUUCUUCUUCGCUUUAUCUCUCUCAUGGUGUUUUUGGGUUUCUGUCUGUGGUUUCCCUAUGCUUCUUCUUGGACGUCCGGUGAUAUCGUUUUUUCGGUUGUAUUAGCAUGACUCUCAGUCUCUUUUAUUAGUUUUUUUUUCCCGGUUGUGCUCUUUGUUGAGAGGAAGGUUCAUGGGUGUUUUGUCUAGAUAGGUGACGACAAGGUCUGUUCUCUAUCUACAUUUCGCUUCUGGACUCUUCGGUUUCAC